AGCUUUGCACAGUGGCAAUAUCAUAGCCAAUGAGGUUUAUCCGAGGCGCGAUUAUUGCUAAUAGAAAACCUUCUUGCCUAUCAAGCUUACCUCUUUAAUUUAUUCUAAAUUAUCAUCACU
rnacentral:snRNA from 1 species